CAUGCAGGCGGUUACAUAAGUCAGAUGUGAAAUCCCCGCGCUUAACGUGGGCAUUGCAUUUGAAACUAUGUAGCUAGAGUUCUGUAGAGGGGGGUAGAAUUCCAGGUGUAGCAGUGAAAUGCGUAGAUAUGCGGAGGAACACCGAUGGCGAAGGCAAUCCCCUGGGCCUGCACUGACGCUCAUGCACGAAAGCGUGGGGAGCAAACAGGAUUAGAUACCCCAGUA
rnacentral:rRNA from 1 species